rnacentral:rRNA from 1 species
GAUCAUGGCUAAGGAUGAACGCUAGCUACAGGCUUAGCACAUGCAAGUCGAGGGGCAGCAUGGUCUUAGCUUGCUAAGGCCGAUGGCGACCGGCGCACGGGUGAGUAACGCGUAUCCAACCUGCCCAUCACUUGGGAAUAACCUUGCGAAAGUAAGACUAAUGCCCAAUGACAUCCCACGAAGGCAUCCGAAUGGGAUUAAAGAUUUAUCGGUGAUGGAUGGGGAUGCG